GACGAACGCUGGCGGCGUGCCUAACACAUGCAAGUCGAGAGAGGAACUUCGGUUCCUAGCGGCGGACGGGUGAGUAACACGUGGGUAACCUGCCUCAUAGAGGGGGAUAGCCUCCCGAAAGGGAGAUUAAUACAGCAUAACAUGUUUUGAUUGCAUGAUCGAAACAUUAAAGGAGUAAUCCGCUAUGAGAUGGACCAGCGGCGCAUUAGCUAGUUGGAGAGGUAACGGCUCACCAAGGCGACGAUGCGUAGCCGACCUGAGAGGGUGAUCGGCCACAUUGGAACUUAGAUACGGUCCAGACUCCUACGGGAGGCGGCAGUGGGGAAUAUUGCACAAUGGGCGAAAGCCUGAUGCAGCAACGCCGCGUGAGUGAUGAAGGCCUUCGGGUUGUAAAGCUCUGUCUUUGGGGACGAUAAUGACGGUACCCAAGGAGGAAGCCACGGCUAACUACGUGCCAGCAGCCGCAGUAA
rnacentral:rRNA from 1 species